AUUGAGUGGGAAUAAAAUGUAUAACUAAUUUAACUUGUAAACGUCAAUAAAGUACUAUUUUAUAGUGUGAUACUGAUUACUUUUAAAUGAAUAUGGAUAAUGUUCUUUACCAAAAAACCUACCAAUAAAAAAGGUAGGUUUUUUGGU
rnacentral:sRNA from 1 species